GGGAAGGUAGCUCAAUGGUAGAGCGCUUGCCUUGCAUGCAUGAGACCCCAGGUUUGAUUCCUUAGCACCA
rnacentral:tRNA from 1 species